ensembl:lncRNA
CGGCGGACCAGCAGCGCGAGAGGGCGCCAAACGGGACCAGCAGCGUGACCUUGCGCCCUUAUUCUGAUGCAAGGGAUGACCCGGAGACACCAAAGUCAUUUCAUAAAGCUUUCAUAAUAAUGAACAUAAGCGAUACCACACCAGAUCAGGUGAAACCGACACUCGAACUUGAGCCGCGGCUACUGCACCCAGUGGAAGGCGCAGAGCCGUCGCCAGAUGCCAUCAAAUCAGGAAGGAACCAGCAUAACAGCGGGCCGAGCUGGAGGAAACCAAAUCACAGCAAC